GAUUUCAUGGGUAUUUUUAUGCUUUAUAAUUUUUUAAAAUACUCAUGGGGAGUAAUACGCUUUCGUUUUUCAGGUUAUCUAGAUUAUUUUUUUUUCAAGAAGGGAAAUCUUUUUGUUGUCUUUUAAUGUUUUUUGGGGUUAUAUUUUUUAGUAGUAAAUGAUUGUGUAAUAACUUGAAGAUUUUUAGUAAAGAAUUGGUAUUUUUUUUUUAAUUUUAAAAAAUUAAUUAAUAGAUUAGUAGAAUGUUGUUAAAUUGAUUUUUUUUUGUUUUUAUUAAAUUUUAGGAAUUAUUUUUAUUUACUGAUUUUUUCUUAGACUGGUUAAUAAAAUCUUAGCUGCAAAUUUUGUAGUUAUUUCUGCUCUAUGCGUAAAAGUAAAUGGCUGUUAAAUACACUAAGGUAGCAAAAUCAUUAGUUAUUUAAUUGGUAACUUGUAUGAAUGAAUUUUCUGAGAAUAUAUUAGUUUUUUUUUUGAAUUUAUAUAUUUGUUGAAAAUAACAAUUUUUCCUAUAAGACUAAAAGACCCUAAAAUUUUUAUAACUUUUUAAAGUUAUUUAGUUGGGGCAAUGAGGGAAGGUUAAUAUUUUUUUGAUUUAUAUUUUUUUGAACUCUUUUUAUGGACAAAAGGUAAAAUACUUUAGGGAUAACAGCUUAAUUGUUUCUAAGAGCUCUUAUCAUUGAAAUAGUUUUAGACCUCGAUGUUGGAUUGGAAGGGCUUUUUGGAGUAG
rnacentral:rRNA from 1 species